CUUACUCUGCCUUGAAUAUAAGCCAACUGACUCAUUUUACAAAAUAAGAUAAAAAAUAAGGACCUCACACAAAGAGGAUAAUGGAAGAAGCAGAAAGAAGGGGGAGAGAGUUUGUCAGCUGUAAAGUGCUACAAAACUUCUCAGAAAAAUCACAGUCAAGACUCAGACAGGUCCAGAUACCACUGCUCUACUCUGGGUGUAUGCCUACUCCAACAGUUUAGGGAGAGCCAGCAAAGGAGUCAGAUGCUGCUGUCCCCUGAACUAGUGACUGCGCUGUAUCAAACCCUGCCUUUGGAGGAACACCUGAAGGAGCUGCCACCUGGCAAGCAUCUGGAGAAGCUGUCCCACGGCAAAUACCCCGAAGGGCUGUUGGAGCUGCCGGCUGCCAGGUACCCCAAAGAGCCCAAGGGCCCAUGAGCGACAAAGCCCUAUGACCAGAUAACAGCAUUUUCCCCUCAUCAUCUGUGGACUUCAGGAGACCCUUGAAAAUGACCUCUAUGUCCUGCAUGAAUUUCUUCCACUCCUCAGGAAGGUUCAUAUCUUCCCAGUUUUCAUUCUGGGCAGCUAGAUUCUAACUUACUCCUUACUCCUAGCCAAUUAUUGUCUUAGGCUUUUGCUGCACUCACAGGUCUUUUAUUUUACCUUGUGUAUGCAUACCUUGUAGGCAGUAGCUCUGUACCUAAGUAAUGAUUCAGUCAGUGAGGCUAAAGCAGUUGACAUAUUUUACAUGUGAAAUACACAACUUUAAAAAAUAAUUGUACCACAGCUAAAAAUAAGCAUUCCUCCCAAGGACUAACUGUCUAUACAGUCAGUUCAACAUAACCUGUAAGACUAUUUGUACUUGGUGACUCUCAAUAUUAUACUUUUUCUUUGUUAAAAUUGUGGAAA